rnacentral:tRNA from 1 species
GCCAUGUUGGGUCAAUUGGUACACCACUGGUCUUGAAAACCAGCAUUCCGAAAGGAUAUCCAGGUUCGAGUCCUGGGCAUGGCG